rnacentral:piRNA from 1 species
CACCAGAGAUGAAAGUUCCGCCUGGGCUGC